rnacentral:rRNA from 5 species
GAUAGCGUCAUAGCUC